CUCCGUGGACUGGACUAGUACAACAGUUCAGCUCCAAAUCUAAAUUCUACGUGCCACUCGCACCCAUACUUCCUCGUGAAGCAUUAACUCGCCCGUUCCAUCGUCUUUUCGGUCUGCACUGCGGAUUUUCUAACAGUCGUUCGUUAUCCGUCGUUGCUUCGAGACUUGGACAAGCUUCGAACAAGCACUCACUCACGCGCUUCUCUUCUUGCCUACUUACUACUCGCUAAGUAGUGCCGUUCCAUCAGAGGACAACAUAUUUACAUAUCAACAACACCUUCUUCUUCCUACUAUUUCUCGCUCUCUUUCUCUGAAAAGACGACUUUGGAACAUGGGAAUAGUGGUCACCUCUUGGAACUCGAGCCCUGGAGGAGUUGAGCUCUGCUGAGCUGUGACGGCGACCGACCGACCGACGGACGGCUGAUCUCCCGGCAGUGUUUCUACUACUUUCUCCCAGACAUAGACGAGACUAAUUUUCCUGGCUGGAUUUGUUAUCCGUAUUAAAAUACAUGUUGUUACAGAGUGAAAGCGUUGGUGGGUGAGUGAGUGAGUGAGAGACUUUUACUCGUCGUCGUCGUUGUUGGUGCAGCGGAGCCGAAAAGUGGUGGAAUAUCUGGAUUCAGGCUCUAAAUAAAUAAUUCUGCCAGGUCAGAAAGAGAGGAGUAAAAGUGGGGAAGCGACCAACUGCAGAUCACACACAAACACACACACCACACACUCACAGACAACACGUCCAGGUACAAGAGAAGGGAAAUGUUCAAGGACUAACGUAACCCAGAAAACCGAAUCAAAUUCAUCUCUCGUAAUAAUAUCUACUACUUACUACCACCACCACUUUUCACUACUACGACCGACUACUACGGCUGCAGGGCCAAAUAAGUAGCAGGGAAUCAUUAUUAUCCUUCAUUCUUGAUUCGGAGAGACCUUGAACCGGAUUUUGAGUUUUCUUCAACCGUGAUUUCACAAUAUCAUCACCACUUUUAUCAUUCCGGGCUAAAGAUUAAGGCACGGAUCGGAUCCAAGUAAAAAAAUAAUAGCUUUCACUUUUACUUUCACUUUAUCGUAUUUUCAUUGAUCACCAAAAAAUACUUAAGUAAGAAAUACCAAAUACAUAUCAAAGAAAUUACCCACAUAUCUCAUCGCGUCUACGAAAAAAUGCUGUGAAACGACGUGACUCUGCAUUAAGUAGUAGAAUAAUUCUAAUUAUUCCACUCGCCUCGUCACCACAAAUGACAUGAAAUGAAGUUCACGUCUCUAUUUAUAAACUUUGUUGGGUGUUUCGUUCAUUGAGCGGUCGGCCUGCUCUCAAUCUCUGCUAAAAAAACAAGUACAAACUGCAACCUACAUAUCAAUAUAGUUGCCAAUUAUUUAACUAACCAGAACAUAUCAAAAUCUGCGAUGAAUUUGUAAAACGAUUGACUGAAUAUUAUGGAAUUAAGCACUCCGGAAUUUUAAUGGUUCGUUAGCAAAAAAAGUGUGUAAAACUAUGCAUGAAAAGUAUUUGUGAGUGAAAAGGUGCGAACAAAGUGCGUACAACAUUUGGCGGAUUAUUUGCUUAGGUGCUGGUGCUGGUGACGAAAGGAAUUCUAGGAAACGUAGUACACAAAGAAAGAAAGCAAGCAACGAACCAACUUUGCAUUGUUCUUCUUUUCCCUCUCGGGAUCGUGUCGGAAAGCAGGGGGGAAAAUGUCCUGAUACUAAAAAAAGUCACCUGGAAAAUUAAAUUUGUGCUAAAAAAUCACCUCGAAUUGUAAUUUAAUGGAACGAUGAGGACAGAGACUAAGUGUAUACGCGUACUUUGCACUCGUAGACGAAGCUGAUAUACAUCAGUUUUACUAAAAGGGAGAUAUUUACAUACAUAAAUAUUGUUAAGUACGGGGCUUCAGUGUUCAUUAGGUUUACAGCAAUCACGACCCCUUCGCAUCCUUUAUUGUGUGACCAAUCAGCAGAAAGCUAACUACCGACAUACAUAUCUACCUACUUACCUGCCCGUACUAUUUUGAAUGACUGUGUGAGACACAUGUGCUAAAAUUAUUACGAGUGAUUACUGCCAUUACUUACUUACGUAAUACGGAGACAAAACACUGGGACUUUUCGGGUGGAGAAAGUUUCGCGAGAGAGAGGAGCAAGUCGUAGUGGUUGUCGUCUUCCUGGGUACUUCAGCUCUGCCAAGUUAUCAUCGUCAUCGUUAUCGUCAUCGUCAACUCGCCGAGUAAUUAAUGGACAUCUGAGUUGAGUGAAAUGCAAUGCAGAAAAUCGGAUUGGGUCACUAGCGAAAGCCGCUAGGAGAUGAACAAUCGGUAUGUGUCUUCGAAAUCGGUACUUCAUCGGCCUUGUCCAGCUGCUGGUUCUUACCUCUUCUCACGUGCUGGAUGCCUCCAAGAGAUUCGACGAUGACGACGACUCAAGUCUUCUUGUAGAAACUACAGCAGGAUGGGUGAGGGGAUAUGUGGACUACGCAACGACGCCGGAACGCGAAGAGUGCGACAUGUGGUUCGGUAUCCCGUACGCCGAACCUCCGGUGGACAAUUGGCGAUUUCGACAUCCCCGACCAAUCAAGAAAUGGACGGGUGUGAAGGAGGCUCGGGAACCACCAAACUCUUGUGUACAAAUUAUUGACACCGUCUUCCCCAACUUCACGGGAGCCCAAAUGUGGAACCCGAACACUCAGCUCUCCGAGGACUGUCUCUAUCUCAACGUCGUCGCUCCAAGGAAUCGAGACAGGAGCAGGAAGCUGGCCGUGAUGAUUUGGGUCUACGGAGGGGGGUUUUACUCAGGAACAUCCACGCUGGACGUGUAUGAUCAUCGGACUCUGGCGGUGACGGAGAACGUGAUUGUGGCUUCAAUGCAGUACAGGGUGGCCUCUCUUGGCUUUCUCUACUUUGGUACUGCCGACGUGCCUGGGAAUGCCGGAUUGUUUGAUCAACUCAUGGCACUUCAGUUCAUUAAAGAUAACAUUGAGCGGUUUGGAGGGGAUUCGAGCAACAUAACGCUGUUUGGCGAGUCGGCCGGCGCAGCGUCAGUUUCUCUCCAUUUGCUCUCUCCACUCUCCAGAAAUUUGUACCACAGGGCCAUCCUUCAGUCGGGCAGCCCCACGCCGGAGUGGGUCCUCAUUCCUCGAGAUGAAUCUGUUCUCAGGGGACUCCGGCUGGCCGAGGCUGCCGGCUGUCCGCAUGACAAAAACAGAUUGCACGACGCAAUCGCCUGCCUACGAACUGUGAAUGCGAGUGAUCUCGUGGUGAAGGAGUGGGGGACACAGGGGAUCUGCGAGUUUCCAUUCGUCCCAGUGCAGGAUGGGGCGUUUUUAGACGAGGAUCCCUCAGUGGCGUUGAGAAAUGGUCACUUCAAGCAAAUGCCUUUACUUUUAGGAUCGAAUACGGAGGAGGGGAACUAUUUCAUAAUUUACUACCUGACCCAACUAUUCCACCUCAAGGAGGGGGUGGUCGUAAACAGGGAGGAGUUUCUCCAGUCGACUCGCGAACUCAACCCUUACCUCAACAAUAUCGCGAGACAGGCCGUCAUUUUCGAGUACACUGACUGGCUCAACCCCCACGACCCCAUCAAGAAUCGUGACCAUCUUGACAAAAUGGUCGGAGACAAGCACUUCACUUGUAAUGUCAAUGAGUUGGCCUUGAGAUAUGCUGAAGCUGGUAAUUACGUAUAUUACUAUUAUUACACCCACCGGUCGACAACACAUCAAUGGCCUACAUGGACAGGAGUUAUGCAUGCAGAUGAGAUAAAUUUUGUCUUCGGGGAGCCGCUAGAUCCCAUCAGAAAAUAUACUCCGGAAGAAGUAGAGCUCAGCCGUCUCAUGAUGCGAUAUUGGGCAAACUUCGCAAAAACUGGCAAUCCAAGCCUUUCUAGUAAUGGAUCGUGGAACAAACUUUACUGGCCCGUUCAUACGGCGUACGGACGCGAGUAUUUGGAAUUAUCCGUAAAUGCCAGCAAAGAAGUGAAAGUCGGGCGAGGCCCGAGACUCAAACAGUGUGCCUUCUGGAAAAAAUAUUUGCCACAGCUAAUUCAAGCCACCACAACACCUGCACCCCCUAAGAACUGUACGAGUGGUGUACUACCUCGAGAUUCACGGGCUGCGUACGGGGACUUAUUGAUUGGACUAGGUAUCGUUUUAAUCGUGGCAUUAAUUAUCCUCAUUGCAAUGAUGGGAGUCUACUUCCUUCAUCAUCGGGGUCGCCGGCAAUAACUAGCCUAAUAUCUUAACACUUGAAAGAAUGAAUAGAGAGAGAAAGUUACUCGAGUAUAUCGUAUUUUUCCAAAGUUCUACAUUCCCAGAACUGUCAUAGUCAUCGUUGCCGUAUCCAAUUUAAAAAUUUCGCAUCCCCACUGACGAGAUUCGGACCUUUAAGUACAUACAUAGUCCACCCCGACCUCCUCCUCGAAAGAAAAAAAAGUGUCAUCAAACUCAUCUUCUCAAGUCAAGUAUUUACAAGGAAAAACUCAAACUAUACUACUACCUACGUAAAUAUGUACUAACUAACAACCAAAGACGAUCGCCUUCUACUCUCAUCUGUUCAUCAAACUUUUCAAACUUUUUAGACUAAAAUACAUAAAUAAAUGGUAACUUUUUAGGCAGGCAGAAAAAAUGCUGUUGCAUGGCGAGAGUGAAAGAAGAAAAGUCCUCCAUAUUAAGAAAAAAAACGAGAGAAAGUGGGAGAAAGUCUCUCCUCCUCUCGCAUACAUAUACUGUUCAAAUAAAUAAAUCACUGCCCAUUGUCGAUAUUGAUAAUCGAUCGAUACAUAUAAAGAUAUUAGCUAAAAAAGAAGUGAAAAAGCUGAUGCUAAAUAAUCCCCAACCAAGUCCCCACCUCGUCACACAUUAUAAUCUCUCAAAAACACUCGCCAUUUACAUAAAUAGUCGUCAUUGCCAUUAAAGUUUCCAGGAAGAUACAUACAUACCAAAGUAAAUAAUAAUACAUAAUUUUGUGUUAUACAUACAUAUGUAAGGUUGACAAUUUUUGAGUAAUCUACCUCUGCAAGAGAAAAAUAAUAACUUUCUAUUAUCAUCACCACGAUAAUUACUUAUCCAAUCCACACACAAUAACAGGCUCCACUUCGCAAUCCUAUGACGAUGCAUUGCAUUCCAAUUCAUGUAAUACAAUAAUAAUCAAAUUAUAAGGCGUAUGGAUGUAUGAAUUUAGAUAAUAAUAGGAGUAAGGUUAUGUAUCUAUGUAUGUAAAAAGGGUGUAUUAUUGAUAUGUACCUAUUUAAGUACAUAUAUACCCAUACUGCUAUUUACUACAUAUGUAUGUAAUAGGAUAAGAUAAAAGUUGCUAUCCAGUACUGCAGGUCAGGCUUGAACUUAAAAAAAUGAUACCUUAUCGUAAUCUAAGUUAGUCGAUGUUCAGUAAAAUACAUAAAUAUUUAGUCGUAAAUAAGGGGCUAAGGAGAGGACAGGGCGUAUGUAUGUACGUAAAUAUGUACGUACUCGCGAAUCAUAUCAGGAGCAGUAUAAAAAACAAUUUAAGUAAGAGUAAUUUGUCAAUUUCUUCAAAUUUGCAGAAAUUUACGGAAAUAUUUACGGUGAUUACAUCUUGUGUGUUCUAUCCAUAUCAUAACAUAUCAAUCAUACCUUAUUUAUUAUUACUUAUGUAUGCAAAGUGAGGGUGAUUGAUUGGACUGGGUGCAAAGCAAAACGUACAUAUCAGAAAUUGUGGUUUACAAAAUUUCCAAAAGUUAGGUUACCGUCAAAUUGGGUCAAAUCAUUUGUCAAUUUGCAAAAAAAAAAUCCGGCAUGUAAACGCAAUUGACGUUAUGCAUUAAAUUUUUCUUUGCCAACGAGACGAAUGACCAAAUACAAAAAAACAUGGCUACAUAUCAAGUGAAUUUCUUUCAUUUAAAAAAAAUUAUUUGAGCUUAGCAUAAGUAAAAAGAAAGAAAGACAACUUUCUCCAAAAAUAACUUAAACAUAUCAAAUCAAAAACAAAUUGAUUCGUGUUUUUUAAAAUUCUAUCCAAAAAUUUCCAAUUCGCCACCCAAGAACAAAAUGCAUAUUCUUAAAUUGUAUGUAAAAUUAUGUACCUUCGUUCGAAGCGCAAUGCAAUUUUCUCUUUCUUUCAAGUAAUUGAAGAUGCAAUUGAAACAAUACGACAUAUCAUGACAUCCUAAAACAUAUCUUAAAUAUUUAUAUGUAAAUUAGCGUAAAAAUGUGGUGAGAUGAUCUUAAAUUUGCAGUUUGCUCUGUGUAUGUAUGCAUGUAAAUAUCGAUUGCUACGUAAUUAUCAUUGUCCAAUAAAAGUGUAAGACUAAUUCUGACGAGGAAAACAAGCAAUGAAAUGGUGCUGCUAAAAGCUGUUCAAAAUGGAAAAAGUUACCGGUUCAAUUACACAAGUGACAAUUGUAAUUUAGGCAAUUGUUCCAGUGAAUGCAAAGUUUUUUGAGAUUAUUAAGGGAUACAUGGCACACAAUCUUGUUGGUAAAUACAUAAUUCUUGUUGGACAGAGUUCAAACUAUUUUAAUUGCGUUAUUAAUUAAUUACUUAGCAGAGUCAUAUUUUAUUACGGAAUCAAAAUAAUUUGCAGAGAGAAAAUUGCAUGUUUAGUUUGGCACUGACAAAAAGAUAAUAUAAAAAGAGAGGAAUCAUUUUUUGCGAACAAUUCAAAAUGCAUAUCAGCAACAUUAAUUACGUAAUUAUGUAUGCAUAUCAGGAACUUUGUUAAAUAUUGGUCUGACAAAAUUGAGCAUAUACAGAUUUAGCUUCAGCUUAAGUAGGUAUCUAUUUACAUAUAUUUCAAAAAAGUGUAUUCAUUCAUACACGAACAAACUUCCAUGCCUUUAGCUAUCAAAAUAAAUACAUAACUUUCUUUCCAAAAAUUUGUAAUUCAACUUGAAAAACUGUUCUGAAAAAAUGACACACGUGUCUCUUCCAAAUUUCGGUAUGCUGUCCUUAAUAGAAAAUUCAAAGACUUUUUUGGUGCGGUAAUUACAGUGGCCGCGGGGACAUGUGAGGAUGUUAACAUUGUAGGAUAGGGGAGGGAGGGGUUUAGCUAACAUGGGGAGAUGAUGGGGACAUUGUCCCUCUGUCCCCACGCUUCCGCGGCCACUGGCAGUAAUUCAGUUUAGACACAAUUAUUUUAAAGAAUAUAUAGGAAACACUGCCGCACACAUGCAUUUCCUGUCCCCAAUAUUGUUUCAUAUUUAAAUAAACACACAAUGGUCGCGCAGUGAUUGACAUGAUACAUAAUUAAAUAUUUGGUGUAAGUACUCGUGUCAUGUGACAAUUAAGUAUUGCUAAUAUUUAGAUUUAAAUUGUCGGUACCUAUUUCGAGAUAAGUGCUAAAUAUUUAAGUAAAUAAGUGUAAAUUUAGCCAACUUUACUUCUUCAAGUUUUCGCAGCAUCGCCAAGAAGCUGCAGGAUAAACUGCUCGAUAUGAUAAUACUUUUUAGCCGUAGUUACUCAACACGAGGGUGGCGUGAAGUGGAUAAAAAUACAUAAUGGGACAAAUCGCAAACUAAUUAAUAACUCUGUCUGUAAAGGGUUAGAUUUUAUAUCUAAUACUUAACUUAACCAACCACACAUGGUUAUUUUGCGACGGUACAUAUGUGCCCCAUACUUAUGUAAAUUUCUUCACCUUCCACACCCUCACAUUACCGUUGUAAUAUCUAAUAAAAAGGGGAGGGGGGAGAGGAUAAAAUUCAAUAAUUGUAAAAGAAAUUUUCUGUAAAAUGUAACACGUGUUCACUCAUAGCCAUACAUACAUAUGAUAACCUAUACUCUACUCUACAUAUCAUGACGCCGCCGCCAACUUCUUGGCUUAUCUGAAGAAGAUGAGGUAUUAUCGUAUAAGUGAAAAACUGUGACGGAAAGAAAGACAGCUUUUUUUAUCAAAAAAUUUGCAAACCCAUACAUACAAACAAAUUAUUGAUCAACUCUUACGUUGAAGCUAUACUACUACCAAACUAUGCAAUAAGGCACAUUUUUGACAAAUUGAAGCAUUUUUGUGUCACCAACUAAAUACUAAUACUUAACAAACACCAACCACCACUCUAUCCGUAUAAAUAUCCUGAUAAUCCUGAAUGUAAAAUAAUAUACGUUAAUGAUUACGUACGUAAUGUAAUGGAACGGAACAGAAAAAGCGGUCAUGCAUAAAUAUGUGUGUGUGUUACAUGCAUUUGUGUCUCUGAAAGUGGAAUUGGGUGCUAAUUCGUGCAUACGUAAGUAGUAAAUGUGCUAUUGAUCAUCAGUUAUGUUAUCAAUCAGUAAGGAAAGUCAGCCCCAAAUACCAAAUACCACUUAUCUUCGAUAAGUCGGCUCCCGAAAGGCAACUCAACCUGUAGGAUCGUGUAAAAACUCGUGUAAAAAACCUAAUAUCUGCAAAUCUGCUACUACAUAAAAAUACAAUAAUACCACUUUCCUAUUCAUAAAUGAUGAUAAAGAAGACUUAACUUUGAGAAAAUUAAGAGUACAUUUUUGUAUAAAAGCAAAUAUGCAUUAUUAACUAAAUUCAUUCUGAUUUUUAAUUCUGAAUCAAAAUUUAAUAAAGUUGGAUAAAUAGACAGACAGACAGACACGACAAAUUGCAAUUCAAAAUCCAAAUACAAUAACUAACUAACCAAAGGUUUAACCGUGGUAUGUAGGCCGGCGGAGGAUAUUAUAUAUACACGAAUGUAGGUAAGACUUUUGUUAUAAAAAUGAGAUCAGAUUAGCAGCUAAAUUAGCCACAUUAAAAUAUCUAAUACAUAAUAAGCCUUCAAAAAAAUAAUUAAAAAUCGGGCUAAAUCUAAGAACUUUUGUAUUAUGGCACCACGGAGGAGAAGCAGGUGCAAAAUAUUUAUGAUUAGGCAUUCGGGUGGAACAAGCAGUUCUUUUGCAGUUAUCAUAAUGGUUUUGGUGCUAAAUAUUUGCAUAUGCAAAUUAGAAAUGGAACGGCAUGGAUCACAAAUAUGCAUUUGUUAGUCCAAAAAUAAUGACAAAUUUAUAAAAUUUAGUCAAGUUUUAAUUUCUCCCGGAAAUUUUUGAAGAGUGAAAGUUUUAUGUAAUCCAUGAUAGAACUUUCCUUUAAGAUUCCGAGAUGAAUAUGCAAUUGAUUUGUUCCUGGCUGCUGAAUAUAAACCGUUCAAAAAUUAUAAGUGACUCAAUUUUCUCAUUUAACUUUUAAGCAGGGAGGUUGAGGUGAUGGAUGAGGGGCA